rnacentral:rRNA from 1 species
CAAAUGCCCUGCUUCCAGGAAAAGCCUCUAAGCAUCAGGUAACACGAAAUCGUACCCCAAACCGACACAGGUGGUCAGGUAGAGAAUACCAAGGCGCUUGAGAGAACUCGGGUGAAGGAACUAGGCAAAAUGGUGCCGUAACUUCGGGAGAAGGCACGCUGACACGUAGGUGAAGUGAUUUACUCAUGGAGCUGAAGUCAGUCGAAGAUACCAGCUGGCUGCAACUGUUUAUUAAAAACACAGCACUGUGCAAACACGAAAGUGGACGUAUACGGUGUGACGCCUGCCCGGUGCCGGAAGGUUAAUUGAUGGGGUCAGCGUAAGCGAAGCUCCUGAUCGAAGCCCCGGUAAACGGCGGCCGUAACUAUAACGGUCCUAAGGUAGCGAAAUUCCUUGUCGGGUAAGUUCCGACCUGCACGAAUGGCGUAAUGAUGGCCAGGCUGUCUCCACCCGAGACUCAGUGAAAUUGAACUCGCUGUGAAGAUGCAGUGUACCCGCGGCAAGACGGAAAGACCCCGUGAACCUUUACUAUAGCUUGACACUGAACAUUGAGCCUUGAUGUGUAGGAUAGGUGGGAGGCUUUGAAGUGUGGACGCCAGUCUGCAUGGAGCCGACCUUGAAAUACCACCCUUUAAUGUUUGAUGUUCUAACGUGGACCCGUAAUCCGGGUUGCGGACAGUGUCUGGUGGGUAGUUUGACUGGGGCGGUCUCCUCCUAAAGAGUAACGGAGGAGCACGAAGGUUGGCUAAUCCUGGUCGGACAUCAGGAGGUUAGUGCAAUGGCAUAAGCCAGCUUGACUGCGAGCGUGACGGCGCGAGCAGGUGCGAAAGCAGGUCAUAGUGAUCCGGUGGUUCUGAAUGGAAGGGCCAUCGCUCAACGGAUAAAAGGUACUCCGGGGAUAACAGGCUGAUACCGCCCAAGAGUUCAUAUCGACGGCGGUGUUUGGCACCUCGAUGUCGGCUCAUCACAUCCUGGGGCUGAAGUAGGUCCCAAGGGUAUGGCUGUUCGCCAUUUAAAGUGGUACGCGAGCUGGGUUUAGAACGUCGUGAGACAGUUCGGUCCCUAUCUGCCGUGGGCGCUGGAGAACUGAGGGGGGCUGCUCCUAGUACGAGAGGACCGGAGUGGACGCAUCACUGGUGUUCGGGUUGUCAUGCCAAUGGCACUGCCCGGUAGCUAAAUGCGGAAGAGAUAAGUGCUGAAAGCAUCUAAGCACGAAACUUGCCCCGAGAUGAGUUCUCCCUGAGACUUAGAGUCUCCUGAAGGAACGUUGAAGACGACGACGUUGAUAGGCCGGGUGUGUAAGCGCAGCGAUGCGUUGAGCUAACCGGUACUAAUGAACCGUGAGGCUUAACCUUACAACGCCGAAG